ACUGCCUGAUGGCGGGGGAUAACUACUGGAAACGGUAGCUAAUACCGCAUAACGUCGCAAGACCAAAGAGGGGGACCUUCGGGCCUCUUGCCAUCGGAUGUGCCCAGAUGGGAUUAGCUAGUAGGUGGGGUAACGGCUCACCUAGGCGACGAUCCCUAGCUGGUCUGAGAGGAUGACCAGCCACACUGGAACUGAGACACGGUCCAG
rnacentral:rRNA from 1 species